UGCCCAUCACUUGCUUAUACGUCUAGAUCAGMCAGGACGUCGGCAUGUGUAGCGUAUUUUGUCGGGUCUCGAGAUCAAGAAUCGAUGUCCCUUCGAUGUCCCUUCGAUGUCCCUUCGAUGUCCCUUCGAUGUCCCUUUGUUGGUUGGUUUCCUGUGUUCACGGCCCUUUCGUUGCUUUGUUACUUUCGCAUCGUUCGGUGCAUUCUGGGGGCUGUUUUGGCUUUUGGUGACUUGCUUGGCCUUUUGGUUGGGCUUGUUGCUAUUGGUUGGGUGGCUUUCGGGAAUGUCGACCGGGGAGGUGCAUGAGUGGUGUUUGGUUUGUUACGUGUGGAUGGCUGUUUGCUUGCGCACCAACGUUCACGCUGCAUACCUCUUCAGUUUUGCUGCAAGGCUUGGUUUGGCUUGUGCAUAUUGUGGGUUUCCUGUGUUGCAUACCUAGUUGAUGGAAAAGUGUGGGUUUUACGAUUUUCAUUUUCGUCUUGCGUCGUUCUUUUGGCGUGGGAUGAACAAUGAAGCGAUCUUUAUGAUCCACCGCUGUUGCGUUUGCAACAACGAUGUGGCCUAUGAAGCAUCGUUUGGUCUCUUGUAUACGGAACCUGAUUUGGGCUUGGGUCUUUAUAAGAUCUUCGUUAUGCCCUUGUUAAGCGUUCUCGCUUCUCCUAAACGAUUG
rnacentral:misc_RNA from 1 species